GGGGGUGUAGCUCAAUGGUAGAGAGCUUACCUGGCAUGCAGCAGGCUCUGGGUUCAAUCCCUAGCACUGCAA
rnacentral:tRNA from 1 species